UACGUAGGGUGCGAGCGUUAAUCGGAAUUACUGGGCGUAAAGUGUGCGCAGGCGGCUUCGCAAGUCGAGUGUGAAAUCCCCGAGCUUAACUUGGGAAUUUGCGCUCGAAACUACGGAGCUGGAGUGUGGCAGAGGAAGGUGGAAUUCCACGUGUAGCGGUGAAAUGCGUAGAGAUGUGGAGGAACACCGAUGGCGAAGGCAGCCUUCUGGGCCAACACUGACGCUCAUGCACGAAAGCGUGGGGAGCAAACAGG
rnacentral:rRNA from 1 species